rnacentral:rRNA from 1 species
AACGUAGGAGACAAACGUUAUCCGGAGUUACUGGGCGUAAAGGGCGUGUAGGUGGUUGUGUAAGUCUGGCGUGAAAUUUUUCGGCUUAACCGGGAAAGGUCGUCGGAUACUGCACAACUAGAGGACGGUAGAGGCGUGUGGAGUUCCGGGUGUAGUGGUGAAAUGCGUAGAGAUGUGGAGGAAUACCGAUGGCGAAGGCAGCCCCCUGGGCCAAUACUGACGCUCAUGCACGAAAGCGUGGGGAGCAAACAGG